CUUUGUUUAAUCGCUUAGAGAUUUCACAAGAACAGGUUAGUGAACUUGAAAAGAAAUGUAAAGAGUUCUUUAGAAUUAACAUGCUUUUCUUUACUUUUCAUCCCACUGUCUGGCAUCUAGGUAACAUUGUUCCAGUUCAUGUCAGGGAAAUGAAAGACAGAUCUUUAGACAUGAGUAUGUAUCUCUUCUGUGGCUUYGCGAAAGGGGAUACAAUGGUGGUUUGCUUUCAUCAAGAAAUCUGAGUUACAUUCCAAAAAGAGCAUUGCAUGAUCCCAAUUACUGUUAUUGUGGAUAUCACAAGGAACCAUCUGAAUCACAGUGUGUAUUCUGCCUACAUCCUCUCAGAGAGAAGGUAGUUGCCAGUGUAACUCAAGGGAAAAACUUGUUGUCCAAAAGAAAAUAAAACACAGGGCUAGGGUAUAAGAAGUAUUGUGUACUCCCAGAAAAUAUCCAUCCCCAAUCCCCAAUGAGGGAAUUUUUUAAAGACCCCCCAACCCCUUAAUUCCAUUCUUCCAUACAAACUCUGUAAUUUUCCUUUCCCCCUCGGAGGAAAUACUUAAUUCCUCUGUGGGGGUAUGGAUAAUUUCUGGAACUACAUAUUCCAACAAAACACCUUGUAAUUACUUUUAAAGUGUAUAACGUCGAUUGCUAUGGAAUAUUAUUUACUUAUGGUGCCAUGUUUUGGCACAAAUCUGUUUUGAUAAACAACAUGACUUGAGCAGCACAGUGUUUUCAUAAAUAUUAUAAGUGUAUGAAGGUUGUCCUGAGUUUCAAAGACUAGCACACAUAACAGGAUGAUGUAAGUAUUAAACAUGAAAACAAAA